rnacentral:misc_RNA from 1 species
AACAAGGAACUGAAGGCUUCUAACACCAUAAGAGAGCGAAGGGUAAUUCAAAGGAAGGCAGUCCUCAUGAAAGGAGGUGGAAAUGCUGAGGGCAUGAAAGGAGGUGGAAAUGCCGAGGCCAUUAGAGGAGGUGGAAAUUCUGCGGCCAUGAAUGGAGGUGGAUAUUCUGAGGCCAUGAAAGGAGGUGGAAAUGCUGAGGCCAUUGACCCAAUAGAGUUAAGGUGAAACUGCAGAGGCGAAAGAUCUUUAUCUUUAAUCCCAAGAACUUCGAAAAUUGUGUUCAUAUCUAACACCAGAUCAGAUCUUCGUUUGUCUCUCUUUGCAGCAUCAUGGAAGUUUAAGGUGUGAUUAAAAUAGAGAAUCACUUUCAUAUUAUCACCCUCAAUCUCCUUGAAUUGUAAGCU